rnacentral:RNase_P_RNA from 1 species
GGAGCAGGUCGGGCGGUCGCGCUCGUUCCCCAUGUCAAAUGGGGGGCGGGUGAGGAAAGUCCGAACUCCUCGGGCCAGGGUGCUGGGUAACGCCCAGGCGGGGUAACCCGACGGAAAGUGCCACAGAGAACAGACCGCCGAAGGCC